rnacentral:misc_RNA from 1 species
GAUGAAGAACGCAGCGAAAUGCGAUAAGUAAUGUGAAUUGCAGAAUUCAGUGAAUCAUCGAAUCUUUGAACGCACCUUGCGCUCCUUGGCAUUCCGAGGAGCAUGCCUGUUUGAGUGUCAUUAAAUUCUCAAGACCUGUCUGCUUUUUUGAUAGGUAUUGGAUUUUGGGGGUUGCAGGCUGUUUCAAAUAAAUAGCCUUGCUCUCCUUGAAUGUAUUAGUGGAGAAAAGCCAUUGAACUCCAUUGGUGUGAUAAAACCUAUCAAUGCCAGGAGCAAUAUCACUACCUCUCUCUGCUGUCUAACUGUGACUGUCUGUAUUAAUUAGUAUGGAUGGGGACAACUUGACCAACUUGACCUCAAAUCAGGUAGGACUACCCGCUGAACUUAAGCAUAUCAAUAAGCGGAGGA